GUGUGUAGCCAUACCCCUCCUGACCGCACCCGAUCUCAUCUUAUCUUGGAAGUUAAGUAGGGUCAGGUCUGGUGAGUACGUGGAUGGGAAAACCCCAACUUAAAACUGCACACA
rnacentral:rRNA from 1 species